GACCCAACUAAUUGGCGAAAAGCUGUUCUCCUGGAAAAAUGCCCAAAAACUUGCCCAAAUCGGAAUGCCUUUCGAUAAUCGCGAACAGCUGCUUGAUGAAAUUCAAAUUGAAUUCGAAUUUCUCGCUGAUCAAAACUGGCAGCUUAACAUGUUCUCGUGUUGGAUGCUCGACUUGCUCCGACGUGCUCCACAGUUAAAUGAUGGGCUCGCUCAGGCAACAAUUGGAAAGUUGACUGCAAUUACAGAACAAUUGAACAAAUUACUUUUUAUGCUGGUUUCACAGAGUUUUAUUGUUUCCGUUCAACCGGAACCUGUUUUGAAGACUCAACAUAAAUUUGUCACUGAGGUUUGUUUUUUAAUGGAAAUUAUACAUGUCAAAUUUUGGUGGGUCCCGCCGCGAAAACCACACCGUCGUGACGAGACCCAACUUAGUUAGAAUUCAAGCAAAUUAUAAGAAACAAUAAAAAAAAAUUCAAAAAUUUUAAUUAAAACUUUACCGUUUCAAAAGUCAUUCAAAUAAAUAUGUAAGUCAUACUCAACAAUUUUAUUUAAGAAGUUCAAUUCGAAUAUAAUGUGUGCCACGCAUUUGUUCAGCUUGAAAAUUUCUGGGUCCCACCACAAAAACUACAGUUCCACCCCACCUAAUUUUACGGGUUACUGUAGUUUCCGCUGUGGGACGCAGCAAUUUCAGAAUCCUGAUUUUUCAAUAAAAUUACAAAAAAAAACUAAAAUUUCCAGGUCCGUCUUCUCAUUGGCGAUAAGCUGGGAAUUCGUCAACACCUGGUGAACACAAAUGUUUCAGUGAAAAUUAUAGCAGAAGAUGAAGCCAAGCAGUUGAGUGUUGACUAUGAUGCACAUAAGGAAAUGUGAGUUUUUUUUAAUGAAAAAUUUGAAACAGUAAAUUUUUGAAAAAUUGAGAAAAUUUUUUUUUCUAAAACUUAUACUUUUUCGUAUUAUUUUUAUAUACUUUUCUUAUUUUUUGUGGUUAAUUUGUAGUUGUAUCACUAUAUUCAACACUAAUAUUUUUCAGCCGUAACAACAAGACAGUUGGCACAAUUUCCAAUGAUUUCGAGAAGCUCACAAUGAAUGAAAGAGGACACUUGGCGGCAAAAUUCAAUAAUUCAAAAUUGACAAGAAUUGCACACAGAAAACCGCCCCCAAAAGGAGCAUCUGACUUGAAAUGUGCAGCAAGUAUGCAGGCAGCUACUGAUCAGAAAUAUGCUCUUUUAUUCUUUAUUACACCUUUUCAAAUGGGUAAUUUGAGCAAAGUAAGUUGUUGAUAUUUCAAUUAUGACUUGAUUUUUUUUGAACGUAGUCAGUAACUCAAACUCAAAUGCAAAAUCUUUUAAAAACAACGUGAAACAGCAAAACAUUUAUUUUUUAUUUUUUCACUGUUUCAACAAAAAGUUUAAAAUUUAUUUCAAAAUUUGAGUCUGAUAAACGAACAAUGGUUGAACCAAACAUUUCCAACAUUUCUUUCGGUUUUCACUUUGAAUUACUGAAAUUUUCUAACUGGAUUAGUAAAAGCAGUAAUUCUAUAUUCAAAAAAGUGUAAAGAAACUUGAGAAUUUUCACUGUUUCAGCUACUCUUAAUUUUCAAAAUUUAAUAUGUCCUCCAAUUUCUAUCAAUUAAAAUUUAACAGGAAGAACAAUUCGACGUUUGGACACUUUCUCUUCCAAUAAUGGUUACAGUACACGGAUCUCAAGACUGUGACGCGCAAGUUGCAAUUCUCUGGCACCGCGCAUUCGCCUCAAUCAGCAGAAAUCCAAAUACAACUGAUGUGACAGCUGUGACAUGGGACAAUCUAGCAAUAAUGCUUCGAAACAAGUUCUCCUUAUUCACGGGAGCACGUCGUCCACUUUCAGAUUCAGAUUUGGCAUAUUUAAGUGAGAAAAUGUUAAUGCCAAAUGUGGCAGAUCAGAAGCCAAUCACAUUUCAUCGAUUCGCAAAACAGGCAAUGAGAGAUGACUUACCAUUCUCAUUUUGGGAAUGGUUUUUCUCAAUAAUGCAAUUAAUCAAACAAAAACUGCUCAAAUUCUGGGAUGAGGGAUGGUGCAUUGGAUUUAUUUCAAAAAAUGAUGCGUCUCAAAGUAUGAUGAUGUGUCAGCACUCUUCAUUUUUAUUGAGAUUCUCUGACAGUCAAACUGGUGCUGUAUCGAUUGGUUUUGUUUGUGAAGAGGCUGAUGGACAAAAGAUUCCAUUUCAUUUGGCACCUUUUACUAUUAAGGAUUUGGAUCAAUUGUCACUGGCAAGUCGUAUUGCUUCAUGUCCACAAUUGAAGGAUAUUCGGUUAGUUUUAGACGCGAAAAGUUUACCAUGUUGUUAAGUAUGCUUAGUUACGGUCAAAAAUGGAAAUGUUUAAAAAAAAUUGGAAAAAUGAAAAAAAUUAUACUGUUUCACUAAAUAUUUUAUGUGGUUAAGAAAUUGGACAAAAAAUAAAAAGUUCAAAAAUACUACUUUUUCAUUGAAGAAUCAUAAAUAGCCUCAAUUGCAAUAGUUUGAUAUUUCUGUAACCACGAAAGUGAAUUGAAUUUUCACGCGAUUACUGGGACGUAAGUAUCGUACCUGCCUACGUACCUGCCUACCGCCUAUUUUCUGCGCCCUGGCGGGAAAUUAUGUGAUCUAUGUUCUCACCGUCCAAAAAAAAAAAAACUUCAACUGUUUCACUUAAGAAUUAUAUAAGUUGUUCCUUCUUUUUUUAAUGUUAAGAAAAUACUCCUUCAUCUUUUCUAAUUAUUAUAAUUUGAUUAAACUCUUUUCAAUCAGUGAUCAAUUUAAACAAAAAAUGUUAAAAUUAAAGUCAGAAGUGCCAAAUAAAAAAAAAGGGUAAAUAAAAGUUAAUUUUAGGAGUGAAAACUUAACAAGAUGUUAAGUUUGUUCAGUUACAGUAAAAAAUAAGUGUGAAGAAAAUUGAAAAAAUGAAAAAAAAUUAUACUGUUUCACUAAAUACUUUUAUCAUUUGGUUUGAAGUUAUUGCAUUCUUAUUGCAUUCUCUUUCAUAACAACAAUUUUCGGGUCUUACCACGUUUUGAAACCUUUGAAUUUCAAAAUUUUGCUAUGAAAACUGGCACAUUUAAACAAAACAAAUAUUUUUUAUGUGGUUAAGAAAUUGGAAAAAUUUGAGAAAAAGUUCAAAUUUUCUACUGUUUCAUUGAAUAAUCAUAAAUAGCUUCAAUUGCAAUCGUUUGAUAUUUCUAAUCUUUGUGAAUCACCCUGAAAAAUAUAUAUAAAUAAUGUUCACAUUUUUCACAUUCACAUCAGUACUAAGAAAUACACCUUCUUGCCUUGUGCUUACCUACCUACCACCUAUUUUCUGCGGCCCGGCUGGAAAUUAUGUGAUUUAUGAUUUCACCGUUCAGGCUGAAGCACUUUUGAUAAUAUUUCUGAACGUGGAUAUAAAUUAUGUCAGCAGUUAUUUUGAACAAAAUUAACAAAAAUUUGAAAAAAAACUUCAACUGUUUCACUUAAGAAUUAUAAAAGUUGUCCCUUCUUUUGUUAAUGUUGCAAUUCCGAAAUACUUAUUACAACAAAUGCAUCAUUAUAAUUUGAUCUAAAUCUUUUGAAACUGUGAUCAUUUUACAAAAAUAUUCAAAUGAAAGUUAAAAUUGCCAAUUUAAAUAAAAUACAGGAAUUUAAAAAAAUUUUUUUUUUUUCUAUUGUUUCACUAAAUAAUUUUAUAUGGUUUUUUUCAUUGAACGAUAUUGAAAAUGGCAUCAAUUGUAUAAUUGUUAAAUACACUUUUCUCCGUACUUUUUAGGUCUCAUCACCAUCUCGAUACUGUGAUUUUUAAUAAUUUAUUAUAAGAACUGUCAGCACAGCAGUUUUGAACAAAAAGUUUCAUUUCCAAAUAUUUCAUUUUUCUACUGUUUCAUUGAAUAAUUAUUAAAAACAUCAGUCCCAUUUUUCUGAUAUAUUUUUUAAAAAUAUUUUUUGGAUCCAAUUAGUAAACAUCAUGAAAGUACAUGAAAUGUUAACAUGAACACUUUCUAUAACUGGACACCUCCUGCCUGCCUACCUACUUGCCUACCGCCUAUUUUCCGUUUUUACUCCAACUGUAAUUUUUUGAAUUUUCUCGUUAUAGGCAAAAGUGGGUUACAAAUGACACUUUUUAAAAUUGGAUAAUAACGGUGUGAAAAUAGAAUGAAUGCAGAAACAUGCGCUCGUGAAUAAUAACUAACUGAAACUGGGUGGAAUUUUUACUAAAAUAAAAUCCGGAAAUUGUGAAAACUGCACGGAGUAACUCAAAAAACUAAUCGUUUUUAUAAAAAUUCUAAGGCAAAAAAGUUAGCCUGUCUGCCUACGGUGUAAUUCUUCAAGAAAGUCAAAUUUUGAAAUUAGUGAAUUAAAAAAAAAUUAUGCUGUUUCAGGUUGUUGAUAAAUUAUCGGUUAAUUUCUAACAUCAGUAAACAUCUCACAUCUGGUCGAAAGUUUGAAAAUAUUAGAUACAAUCGAUGUAAGGGCUGCUAUGUUGGGCCGAAAAUUACUGUUUGACUAUAGGCAAGCUACGCCUGACGUGUGCCUUCUACCAGGGGAAGAAUGUGUUUCAUUUCUUUGCCAUUAAAUUAAUUGAAAUAAUAACACUUACAUUUAAAUUUUCGGCUUAGUUGAAACAAUGGUAGGCAGCAAUGUAGGCAGAACGACUUGCCUACCUACAGCUUCAACAAGGCCUUAGCGCCUACUUAGAAAGCCUGAUGAAUUUAAAGCAAUUUAUUUUGGAAAAAUGCCAAAGCAUGUUUCAAGUUGUUCAUUUUUCAAAGUCUAAUAUUCAAAAAUAUUAGUGAAUCACUCAGUUUUUUUUUGAAAAAAAAACAAGGUCUCGCAACGGUUUAUAAUUCUUAUUUUACUUUGAAAAAUAACCGCCAGCCUAUUAAAAAUACGAAUUAAAAAAAAACGCAAAAUGAAAAUAUUUUUCUGUUUCACUGAAAAGAGAUAAGAUCAUGGCUUAGAAUUCGGACAAUGCCUCUUCAAAAAAUGACAAAAAAUGUUUCAAAUUGUCUAUUUGUAAAUCAUGUUUCUGAAAAAUUUAAAUUUUUCCAGAAGUCGCAGAUUUUAGAGUCGAGACCCAAUUUUUAAGGUUUGACAAAACAUUGACUUGAGCUGUAAUCUCUCAAAAUACAUUGUAGACAUGUAAAAUGUGAAAAUGUUUCUACCAAUAGAAAUUGAAAUUAGAAAACAACAAUUUUUCUCACAAAUUCUUGAAACAGUGAAAAAUUUUUUAUUUCAACCGAGUUAAUUAAGGUAGCAACACAUAACUAACAGCGUUCCUCUUAACUUACAAAUUUUGAAACAUGAAAUAAAAACCUCUAAAUUUCAGAUACAUGUACCCGGCAAUCGAUAAAGAAGAAAUGCUGCGUUUCUUCGAGUCCGAGGAGCGUCAUCGCGUGGGCGGUGGUGACAGUCCAACUGGAUAUAUUCAAAGUGAAAUUGUCAUGGUUGCAAAAACAAAUGGGUAGGUUACAGAUGGAAAGUUUAGAAAUUCGGUUUAUUUUAGGAAUUUCAGACGAAUGUCCAAUGCACCGUCCAUGUUUGGUGCAGAUUCUCCGUCACCGUUGUCGGUUCAAAGCAAAUUGGAUUGGUCACCCGGGGAGGUUCAUCAGAAUCAUAUGAUGGAGAUGUGAGUGAUGUGUUCAAAAAGUUUAUGCGUUCGGGGGGAAUCGAACCCCCGUCGAAUGCUUGGAAGGCAUCCAUGCUGACCAUUACACCACGAACGCGGCGAGAAGUCGCUUUCUCAGUGGCCGUUAUCAAACUAAUGACAUCUCAUCUAAAGUGACAUUCGAUAAAGAAAUUUCCAAAAAUUACAAAAUGCGCUCCAAUGCUAAUUCCACUGUUUUUUCCAGGUCCGACGAACUUGGUCAAAUCCUAACAGUCUCGGAUAUGUCGGGAGAUGUAGAAACUCUAUUGGGACCAGCAUUCAAGAAUAAUAUCACAAACUACAAUCCACACGAUGGAAAUCAUCAGCAUAACCUUCAUUUUGUGGAUAUGUCCCAACAGGGAAUGAUGCAACAGCACCACAAUCAAUUUUAUCCCUCAUAAAACACUAUUUAAAUGUUAAAACAGUCCCCCCAAUUACCUCUUUUUGAAUUUCUCUGUCUCCAGUUUAGUAUUCAUAUCUUUGCUUCUUUCGUGCUGUCCAUCUUCCUCAAUUCUUUGAUAAUCUAAUAUUAUUUUGACAAUAUUUACUGAAAAUAAUAUUAAUAAUCACAAGUGAUUUCUGAUCUCAUCCAAUAAAUUAUUUUACUGUAAAUCGAAUGUUUUGAUCUGUUCCACGAUGGAGACAGGAAGCUAGAAAGUUUCAUAUAAGCACGUGAUUCUAACCAAAAAAAAAAAAUUAAUUUUACUGUUUCAGGAAAAUGUUAUCAGUAAAUGCAAUUUCUAAAUAUCGAUGGGGAUCAAGAGCACGAUCAUAAUUUAAACUGUAGGAGAUGAAACUGGAGAAGUCGUGGAAUUGAGAUGAAAGAAAAUAGAAUAGAACUAUUGUCUUCUCACUAAAGGAAAACUGAAUUUUCAGACAAACAUAACAGAAAACAUGACAUGUUCAAUAACUUUUUCAAAUAUCUGUAAAUGGCAAAUCAAGCCCCGGGGAUCAAUUUCAGUUCUCUGCUCUAAAAUAUUUUCAUAUCAUUUACGUUUUGCAGCAUGGAGAUUUAAAAAAAAGUAAUGAAAACUAUUGUCAGUUUUGAAUGAAAAUCAUAUAUGUACUGUAUAAAAUUGCUGAAGUUUUGGAUAAUUAUUAAAAAAAUUCAAGACUCUUCAAGUUUAUUUUCAAAAUGUUGAAGAACUCUCUAUCAGUCGAUUUUAGAUUUCAGUUAUUUUCUCAAAGAUAUUGUGAGUUGAACGCAUUCAAACACAUACAAAAAUAUACAACUGUUAUUAAAAACUCAAAGAAAAUGUAGUUUUAUAAAACUUUUAAUUUUGAAUAAGAAAUUUCUAUAAAUGCAUGUGAAUUGAUUGAAUUAAAUAUCUAAUUAAAUUUUCAAACAUUCUAGGCAAAGCUGUAAACGACAAAAUCACGAAAGCAUUAGUAGCUCAAAUGUAUUGUGAAUAAAAACCUGUUGAAACAGUGGAAAAUUUUUUGAAAAAUUGUUUUCUUGAGUUGGAAAAUUUGUGUAGCUCCUAUUGCGUAUAUUCUCUAUACGUAUUUUGAAAUUUCCCAAGCCACUUUCUUUUUAUUCCCUACCUUUUUCCAGCUUCUCCCUUUUGUAAAUGAGCUCGGCGAGCUUCAACGUUAAUCACUUAUUUGAAACAGUAAAAAAUUUCUUAAAGUAUACGUCGAUUCUGAAAAUACACUGAAAAUGAAAUAAAAUUCUUGAAACUGUAAAAUUUUUUUUUUUAAACCAAUUUUUUUUCACAAAUUUUUCUUUGAAAACGUUUCCUUUUUAUUACCUCCUUGUCUUCCCAUUCCCUUCAUUAAAAAUCUGAAAUUUCCAGACAUGAUGGGCUCAUCGUCGCAAGAGCUUCAAACAGCUCUAACCGACGUCUCAAAGACCUGCCAUCACUUGUGGGAAGAGAAUAAGGACCUCCAAGGCAGAUUUGUGAAUGAACUCGGCGAGCUUCAACGUCUGCAAAUAGUCAUUGCACAGCUGGAACAGCAACAGAGACUAGAAAAUGUAUUCACUGUGAAACAGCAAAUGACAGAGUUACAGAAAAGAGCAGCCACACUUUAUGAGCAUUUGACACAGAAAAGAAAUGAUAUUGUCAUUAAACUUAAUGAUGGCACCAAUUUUGCGACUAUGCUACAG
rnacentral:tRNA from 1 species